rnacentral:rRNA from 1 species
UACGGAGGGGGCUAGCGUUGUUCGGAAUUACUGGGCGUAAAGCGCACGUAGGCGGCUUUGUAAGUUAGAGGUGAAAGCCCAGGGCUCAACCCUGGAAUUGCCUUUAAGACUGCAUCGCUUGAACAUCGGAGAGGUAAGUGGAAUUCCGAGUGUAGAGGUGAAAUUCGUAGAUUUUCGGAAGAACACCAGUGGCGAAGGCGACUUACUGGACGAUUGUUGACGCUGAGGUGCGAAAGCGUGGGGAGCAAACAGG